rnacentral:misc_RNA from 1 species
UCGAGGCGCUGCGGGAGAACGACUUCUCCUUUCGGGCGCGCGGCGCCACGCGUGACGACCCGCUUGGCGACACGCUGUUCGAGAUCAACGCCCUGGCCGACACGCUGAAGGACGAGCGGCUCGGCUCGCUCGAGGCGACGGCGCUGCUGCGCACGGUGAUGAGCGAGAUCGACGUUGCGGUGUUUGCGUUCGACGAUGAACACAAGCUUCGGCUGGUCAAUCGCGCGGGCGAACGGCUGCUCGGCCGUCCCGUGGAGCAGUUGCUUGGACGAACCGCGGACGAUAUCAGCCUGUCAGCCUGUCUCGACGGCAGCGCGCCCCGGGUGCUGAACAUCGCGUUCCCCGGCGGCAGCGGUCAGUGGCAGGUACGCCGUGGAUCGUUCCGCCAAGGCGGCCUUCCACACACGCUGGUCGUUCUGAGCGACGUCAACGUCCCGCUGCGCCAGCAGGAGCGCGAUGCCUGGCACCGUCUCAUCCGCGUGCUGGGGCACGAGCUCAACAACUCGCUCGCGCCGAUCAAAUCGAUCGCCGGCAGUCUCGAGAGCAUCGCCGCCAAGGAUCCGAUGCCGGCGGACUGGCGCGACGACAUGCGGCGAGGUUUAGGGAUCAUCGCGGGGAGAACCGACGCGCUCAGCCGAUUCACGACGGCGUAUACCGCGCUGGCGCGCCUGCCUCGGCCCAACAUGCGCGAGGUCGAUCUGCCGGCGCUCGUCGAGCGUGUCGCGCGGCUCGAGAUGCGCAAGACGAUCGAGGUUCUGCCCGGCGAGGCGGUCGCCGUGCAGGCCGAUCCGGAUCAACUCGAGCAGCUGUUGAUCAAUCUGAUGCGGAACGCCGUCGACGCGGCGCUCGAAACCGGAGGCGCCGUGCGCGUGGGAUGGCACCAGAACAGCCAUUGCGUGUCGGUGUUCAUCGAAGAUGAGGGGCCGGGCCUUGCAAAUCCUUCCAACCUGUUCGUGCCGUUCUUUACGACCAAGCCUCAGGGUUCUGGCAUCGGUCUCGUGCUGGGACGGCAAAUCGCUGAAGCGCACGGUGGGACGCUCACGCUCGAGUCCGGAUCGGGCGCGAAAGGUGCGCGCGCUACGGUGAACUUGCCAAAUCCGACCAUUGGAAGAAUGGCAGAUUGAUAGAUGGCAAGAGUGUUGUUGGAUUGUUGAGUGAAGACUGUGUGAUUCUCAAAAUCCCAACUCUUCAAUCUCGCAACAUUCUGCGAAUCUUCCAAUCUGCCAGUCCUCCAAUUCUCAAGGCGGCAGUGCGAAGGCGGCGGCCAGCUCGGCAUCAUUCUCCAGGCCGAGCACCCGUUUAGCGAUGUAUUCCCCCACGACCGGCCCGAACUUGAAUCCUUCUGCGGUGCCGCCGCCAGCAACCCACACGUUCGACAAUCCCGGGAAGCGGUCGAUGA